GUGUUACAGAUACGGCCACUUUUCCUAUUAUAUUAUAAAAGAAAACAUUUCGAAACGCCCUGUUUAUAGUUUAAACAAUUUCAAUAGUUUCUCUUAACAAAAUAGACAAGCAAAAUAAACAAGGCAAUAAAAUUAAAUGCAAACUUCAAAAUCAAAAACUUUUUUCAGAAACGAGAAGAACUUCAAAGCGAGUGGAUGUUCGCGCGCGUGUUCUUAAAAAAAAUAAUUUUAAUUAAAUAAAAAGAAAAUAAGAUAUAAGUGUAAAUUUUGAUAUAGAAUAAAGAAUACAAAAUUAUUAAAGAAAAUUCCUAAUUAAAAAAAUUUUUUUCAAUUUUCUUAUAAAUAAACUAUUUCAAACAUAAAUUGAUACUAGUUCUUCACUUUUUUCAAAUCUCUACUAACUAUAAACAACAACUACUUUUACCAUAAAUUUCUAAACAAAAGCUGUUAUCAUUCACAACAAUAACAACAACAUUCUUUACCACACAUGUCAUCGUCUCUCACACCAAACACCCACUUAACAACUAUUUGAACUUUAACUACUACAAC
rnacentral:lncRNA from 1 species